UACGUAGGGUGCAAGCGUUGUCCGGAAUUAUUGGGCGUAAAGAGCUCGUAGGCGGUCUGUCACGUCGGCUGUGAAAUCCCGAGGCUCAACCUCGGGUCUGCAGUCGAUACGGGCAAACUAGAGUAUUGCAGGGGAGACUGGAAUUCCUGGUGUAGCGGUGAAAUGCGCAGAUAUCAGGAGGAACACCGGUGGCGAAGGCGGGUCUCUGGGCAAUAACUGACGCUGAGGAGCGAAAGCGUGGGGAGCGAAUGGG
rnacentral:rRNA from 1 species